GGAUGUGAAGGCAGCCCCACUGUGACAUGUCUCAUCCCACUGACUUCCAGGGUUCAUUUGGAUGAACUGGCUGGCUUGGCUGGCUAGGCAGGUGUCUCUUUCCUCCCUUACUGCUCCAUGUGCAUCUCUCGAAGUGUGCACUCGGACUAGGAGAAUGGCCUUUCCUCACAGAGGAGAGCCAUUCUUCAAUCAAGAGCAUGUGGAUAUUUGAAGUCCCCUGCUAGAGCCUCCAGACAAGCUCUCAGAAAGGGAAGAAGGGCUGGAGAGGUGUCUUAGUAGUUAAGAACAUUUGUGCACAGUCAUUAGGACCAGAGU
rnacentral:snRNA from 1 species